UACAGAGGGGGCAAGCGUUGUUCGGAAUUACUGGGCGUAAAGGGCGCGUAGGCGGCCUGUUAAGUCGAACGUGAAAUCCCCGGGCUCAACCCGGGAACUGCGUCCGAUACUGGCAGGCUUGAAUCCGGGAGAGGGAUGCGGAAUUCCAGGUGUAGCGGUGAAAUGCGUAGAUAUCUGGAGGAACACCGGUGGCGAAGGCGGCAUCCUGGACCGGCAUUGACGCUGAGGCGCGAAAGCGUGGGGAGCAAACAGG
rnacentral:rRNA from 1 species